rnacentral:misc_RNA from 1 species
GUAGAUACCAAUACCAAGGAACCUGCAGAACCCAGAACAAGAUUGUCACAUUCAUGAACCUGAAUGCAAAUUAGCUCCCAGUAAACAUAUCCACAAAACAGUGUAUAUAGAAGCUUUUGUAUGUACCACAGACGCUUUCAUUGACAAUUUAGUUUAAAUCUGAUCAGUAAGAGAAUGAAAAGGAAAUACCAGCAAUUUCUGACGCCUGUGGAGCAGGAUACUCCCAUAAACCAAAGCUAGAAAAAAGUAAGUGAAAGAACACUGAGUAAUAGGCACUUGAACACCUACAGAGGCAGAAAGACACAAGUAACAGAAGCAGACAAGAAAAUAAUCAAGGAAACGGAAGAAAAAUCAUGAAAUCUGAGAAGUGUUUUCGUUAAUGUUACCAAGAUUGGCAAUAAGAGAAGAGCUGAAGCUUCCUAGUGCAAGUACAAAAGAAACCACCUGACCCAAGAAUAGCAAGUACAAAGUUCUAAAAGAAACAUGACUGCUCCAGCAGAUGAACAUCUCAUUCCAAGUCAUUGUUGAGACUUCCAUACACAACAAAAACUAGAUCCCAAUGUUCAAAACAUCUUAUAUCACUAUGGAAGAAAAAGCAACAGGUCCUUUUUCAUUAACAAGAAACCUUUCAUAUGAUUUACUUGACUUAAUAUGGUUAAUCAGGUUUCUGUUUAGUUAAUUAGUGUGAUCUUCUUCAGCUACCAUUUUAAAAAUUGCACGUUUUUGUUUUUUCAUCUAAUAAACUGUUAAGAAGAUUCCUUCUUUAUUAUAUCAACUACUAAAAUAGAGGGCAGAUCUCUGAUUAUUCUUUAAUUUUCUAUUCUUUAUGGAAAACUAGCAUAUGUGAACACAAACUCUUUAAUUUUCUAUUCUUUAUAUAAAACAGGAAUAUGUUAAGACAAAACCUGUUUUUUCAGAUUUCAUGAAGAACUUUUUUAGAAAACUACCCCAAUUUCUGCAAGUUGGUUAGGACACUUGAAUCGUGAUAUUAGAUUAGAUAUGUUGCAAUCUUGGAUGUGUGCUUCCAAUAUGAUGCAUAGAAUAACAAGUUGGUUACAAGAAUGCUCCUCUUAUAAAAUUACCAAAAACUAUAAGAAAUCCAUUGAAUAACUAAAUAUUCUUCAUAUUAACAGCAUAAUAUGAAUGGGAAAGUUUCAACAUUUUUGUCCAAGCUAUUGCCACUGUGAUUGUUAUUCCUUGCUUUGUUCUAAUCACAUGUUGAAGUUCAGUUUCAAGUCUUCAACAAUUUACUGUCCAUUUUAUGUUUAUAAAGUAUAUCAAACAGAUAUAUCAGAAAAACUGGGAAGAAAAUAAUAUUGAAAUUUCCAUGACAGAAUCUAAUACAUUAAAUUAGAUGAGUGUUGAUGCAGUCUGGGCAUUAGAAAAGAUAAUGCAGAAGGGAGGGUCUGGAUCCUUUAAUUUAGUCUUCAUUCUGAGAUUGAAGUUAUCCUUUCUAAGUAAGACUUCACUCAAUGGAAACAAUGAAUGCCACCAUCCAUACUUCCUAUUGGCAAGUAGAAUAGAUUGGUCCAUUAACAUUAUUAGGACAUAGCAUAUAAAAAAUUAGGAUAAGCUGCUCUGCUCUUCAUGAAACUAGAGAGUCAUUUCUGCUUGCAUUUUCAUCAAUAAGAACUUGGUAUUCUCCAUUGGAGUUUCCGUCCUCUAGGGCAGAUAUAGGAGCUGGAUCCUUCUCUGUCGUCGAAUAAAUGACAAGUCCAACUGUUACGACUGCAAAAGAAAGAAAGUAUAACCAGUCAACCUGCAAUUGAAACGGAUAAUCUGGUCAGUGGCACUACAUGGGAAUAACAAUUAUCCUUAUAGUGGCUUAAUACCUCCUGUUGGUAGAAGAAGAUGCGAAAAACAACUGCCCACAUAUCAGCAGUAAGGAUAGAGAGAUUGAACAUUGUGGCUCCACUCAACUGUAUGUAAAACACUCUCAUUAGAGAUUGCAAGUUUGUAACCCUGAACAUAUCUCAUUACACUUUUUCAAUGCUACAGAAGUAUUGAUCCAUUGACUUGCACCUCCAAAGCUAGCACACAUAGCCAAUAAUGAUAAAUGGAGAAACAUCCUUUCUAAAACUUAUAUGCAACCAUAAGUUGGACACAGAAUAUGGCAACUAGUAGACUCAUUCAACCAUCUAAUGCUUCAGACCACUCAAUGUUAUGAUUAGUUUUGCUCUAAGUAGAAUAUUGGCAGAGUAGCAAGAGAAGUCAAUUUCACAAUAGGAAAAGCAAUUUCAUAAAUGAUGGAAGAUGAAAGAAAUUUACCUUUAGAACAAAAGGAGCAAGUGUAUAGAACAUAAAUAAUGCGAGAGUAUAGCCUGCAAUAGCUAAUAUCUGAAAGCAAAAUAAAAACAUAAAUUUAAGUUCCACAAGUAAUGUUGGAAUCUAAUCAAGAUCAAGGUUUGGGUGAAAAUGCAACAAAAUUUGCAGAUGAGCUGGCUAAUGAUAGUUUCUCUUUCCUUAUUAGCAUUCAUGUUGGCACAACCAACAUUGCCAGAAUACAAUAAGAAAGAAUAUACAAGAAUAAAUCACUUACUAUAUCUGCAGACCAGUUAACUGAUUCCAGACUCUUCACCUCGAAUAUGGAUCUAAAAUAAGGUUAUGGAAUGACAGAAAAAUCAUAUUCGACUCACACAACUCUCAUAUGUGCCAACUCAUAAGAUGUUCUUCCAAGUUAAAAUCACAAAUAAGGAGAGAGGCACUAAAAUUUGAGUCUUGGAAGCAACAGGAAAUUCAAUUAUCUAGCAUCUGAUGCCACUGAAAAGGAUACAACUCAACCAGACUCACUAGCAUUCCAUACAAACCGAGCAUUGACACCACUUCAACACGAUUUUUGUUCUUAACACAGAAUUCCUCCCCAACAUUGCUAAAGGCAAAGAAAAGUGUCCCAGCAAUAACAAGUGAAUCACCCAAAAGAGGCUUUGAACCACCUUCACCACCCACCCCAGCAUCAGAAAGGAGCACCAAACCAAGCCCCAGCACACAGAUGGCUGCACCAAAUAACUGCCAUAUGGAAUAUCUAGUGCCGAGGAAGAACCACGUAAGAACUAUGGCCCAUGCUACCGUAAAGCAAUCCAAUAAUGUCACACUAGUAAGUGAUGAGUACUGAUAUGCUUUAUUAACAAGAUAAUUGCCUUGAACAUCAACAAAUCCUAGGAGGAGAUACCAGUACCAAGAAAGCUGCAAACCUCCGUAUAGAAUACGUCAACUCUCAAAACCCACAAGAGCAAAUUGAGAACAGAUUUUAUUCCAUUUGAUCUAUAUAAAGCUGACUGAAGAAAAUUAAAGAAAGAGGGAAAGAUAAUACCUGGAUUUUUUGGCGCUUGUAGAGCAAAAUACUACCAUAAACCAAAGCUAAUGCAAAGUAAUUGAAGAUAGACUGAGUAAUGGGUGCAUCAACACCAAGAUUGGCCACAAGAGAAGAUGUAAAGCUGGAGAGUGCAAGUGCUAAAGAAACCAACUGACCCAAGAACAGCAAGAAAAGGGUCCUGAGGGUAGCGUGGCUUCUCCACCAGUUCAUAGUGAGGCUAAACACACAAAGGAAGGAAAAACAAAAGCUCCCAAAAGGCCAAAGUUGGUAUGACUACGAAUGAGAAAUGAAUUCAAAAAAGACUCGUUCCCUUUUCUUGAACUGCAGAAUCCAUAGUUGAGUUAGUUAUACUGAUGCGGUGGUUAAGUCACAGUUCAAUCAAUUUAAGACAUCUCUAGCUACCAUUCUUUCCCCAGAGCGUCUGGUACAAAAAAUUAUUUUCCCGAAGUGGGAGCCAAAGCCAUUUUUCUCUGGGGGCCGGUGGUUG